rnacentral:misc_RNA from 1 species
CUCUCUCUCCUCUCUGCCUCUCUCGCUUUCUUUCUCUCUCUCCCUCUCUGUUUUCGUCGGCGUGUGUGUAAGUGCAGGUGUGCGCGUUUCUUUCUCAUCCCGUCUACCCCCCUCGCCUCUCCUCUCCCUCUCGUCCGCUGUCUAUCUCUGCCUCGGCCUCCCUCGUCGCCGUGAGGAUGGCAGGCUUGUUCGCCGGCGAAUAAAAUCGGCGAUGAGCGAUAUCGCGCGGGGGUGGUGAUAAUCGCGGAAGAAAGGGGGCGAGAGAAUAGAUGCGAGGUACCGAGGGCGCGCUUUUCGCGCAUUCGCGCGGUGCGAAUUAAUGAAAUCGGAGUAAUGAGGUCGAAGAGGACGGAGGUCCGAGUCCGAGAGCGGCAAUGAAGGGAGUUCCGAGGAGAGGCGGAGGAUUCACUAGUGAGUAAGAUUUAGAGUGGGAACGAUAUUUGAAAGUAAGGGAGUACGCGCGGAUAAGUAGGACGGGAAGAAAGAUGAUCUCUGGAAGAAGAUGGAGACAGAGAGAACGAGAGAGAGAGAGAGAGAGAGAGAGAGAACAUCGCCAAUCCGAAAGUUCGGAAUAGGUGAAAAGAUAUGUGUGUAACAGUUUGUGUUUUCUCCCAGAUAUGUGUAAAGCGGGGUGCGAGUAUCUUGUAAAGUGUGAUGUGAAUAAUCCGGUUCCGUAAAAAAAAGAUUACGAGAAAUUGAAGGGGAGCGACGUCUUCUUGCACGAAAAUCGUGAGAAUCGCAGAUAUCACCGAGAAGAGAGUAAAGUGACGAAGAAUAAAGAGCAAAGAGAAGAGGUUGGAGGCUACCCCGUUCGUUCGCGUGAUCAAGAAGACAUCCACGACAAGACACUUGAGCUUGCGAGUUUGACGAACAGUAAUGGUCGAAAAAGACAAAAAUCUAAGGAGGCGAGAACAAGAAAAGAAUUUCGGUUUAGUUGGACGAUAAAACGAUAAAAAGUGUCUUCAAUGAAGAGAUCAUCGCAACUCACCUGAUUCUUUCUCUUGUUUUCUUCCUGCUGCGGAAGUAAGCGU